rnacentral:rRNA from 1 species
UCGACUGUUUUUACAAAAACAUUUCUUUUUGUUCGUAUAAAAAGUAAAGCCUGCCCACUGAUUUUGAAGGGCCGCGGUAUUUUGACCGUGCUAAGGUAGCAUAAUCACUAGUCUCUUAAUUAGGGAAUUGUAUGAAUGGCGAAUUCUUUAAAAAUUUUAUUUUUUGAAAUUACUUAAUUUUAAUUAUAAGUGAAAAUGCUUUUUUAUUGAAAAUAGACGAUAAGACCCUUUAGAUCUUUAUUUUAUACUAAAAUUUAAAUUUAGGUUAUUAGUUAAAGUUUUAUUGGGGCAAUAAAAGAAUAAUAAAAACUUCUUUAAACUAGUACAUCUUGUUUUAUAAAAAUUAAAAAGUUACCUAAGGGAUAACAGCGUUAUAAUCUUUGAGAGUUCUUAUCGACAUUAUUGUUUGCGACCUCGAUGUUGAAUUAAAAAUCCUUUACGGGGCAGUACCUGUGUAAGGAAGUCUGUUCGACUAGUAAUUUUUUACAUGAUUUGAUUCCAGACCGGA